GAUCUAUUAUUCAAACGGUUUAUAAGACAUGCUUUUAUACGCCGCCGGUCGAUGAGUCUGUGGCGGAUUAGGUUGUUGGUGGGGUAAAGGCCCACCAAGCCGAUGAUCUGUACGGGCUGUGGAAGCAGUAGCCCGGAGAAGGGAACUGAGAUAAGAUCCCUAGCCUUACGGGGUGCAGCAGGCGAGAAACCUUUACAAUGCAGGAAACUGUGAUAAGGGUAAUCCAAGUGCAAAUGAAACCCAUUUGCUUUUAUUAAGUGUAAAAAGCUUUUUGAAUAAAUGGGGGGCAAGACACGUGCCAGCCGCCGCGGUAAUACGUGCCCCAUGAGUGGUACUCGCGAAUAUUGUGCCUAAAGCGUCUGUAGCCUGUUUAGUAAAUCUCUUGUGAAAUCAGCAAGCUUAACUUGCUGGCGUGCAGGGGACACUACUAGACUCGAGGCCGGGAGAAGUUAAGGGUAUUCCUGGGGUAGGAGUGAAAUCUUGUAAUCCCAGGAGGACCACCUGUAGCGAAAGCGCUUAACUAGAACGGGCCUGACGGUGAGAGACGAAAGCUGGGGGCGCGACCCGGAUUAGAUACCCGGUUAGUCCCAGCCGUAAACGAUGUGGACUAGGUGUGUUGAUUCCUUCGAGGAAUCAAUGUGCCGAAGGGAAGCCAUUAAGUCUACCGCCUGGAGAGUACGAUCGCAAGGUUGAAACUUAAGGGAAUUGGCGGGGAGACGCUACAAGGGGUGGAUGCUGCGGUUCAAUUGGAGUCAACACCUGGAAACUUACCAGAGAAGACAGCAGAAUGAUGAUCACUCUGAAGGGGUUAUCUGACACGCUGAGAGGUGCUGUAUGGCUAUCGUCAGCUCGUACUGUGAAGCGUUCUGUUAACUCAGACAACGGGCGAGACCCGCGUUUUUAGUUGCUAGUUUGGUCUCCGGAUCAAGUGCACUCUAAAAAGACUGCCAGGGAAACCUGGAGGAAGGAGCGGGCAAUGAUAGGUCAGUAUUACCCGAAAUCUCUUGGGCUACACGUGGCAUACAUUGGUUGAAACAAUGGGACUCUACCCAGAAAUGGGACGAUAAUCUCCUAAAUUCAACCCAGGUUCGGAUUGAGGGUUGGAACUCACCCUCAUGAAUGAUUGGAAUCCCCAGUAAUCGCGUUUCAUCAAAGCGCGGUGAAUACGUCAACGUCUCUUGCACACACCGCCCAUCAAGCCGGCUGAGUGGGGUGUAGAUGAGUUUUAAUCCUUCGGGUUGAAACAAU
rnacentral:rRNA from 1 species